rnacentral:rRNA from 1 species
UAAUACGGAGGGUGCAAGCGUUAUCCGGAUUCACUGGGUUUAAAGGGUGCGUAGGUGGGUUGGUAAGUCCGUGGUGAAAUCCCCGAGCUUAACUUGGGAACUGCCAUGGAUACUAUCAGCCUUGAAUGUCGUGGAGAUGAGCGGAAUAUGUCAUGUAGCGGUGAAAUGCUUAGAUAUGACAUAGAACACCAAUUGCGAAGGCAGCUCGUUACGCGAAUAUUGACACUGAUGCACGAAAGCGUGGGGAUCAAACAGGAUUAGAUACCCUGGUAGUCCACGCCCUAAACGAUGGAUACUCGACAUACGCGAUACACUGUGUGUGUCUGAGCGAAAGCAUUAAGUAUCCCACCUGGGAAGUACGAUCGCAAGAUUG